ensembl:snRNA U6 U6 spliceosomal RNA
GUGCUCACCUUGCAGCAUCUAUACUAAAAUUGGAAUGAUACAGAGAUUAGCGAGACCCCUGAGCAAGGAUGACACACAGAUUUGUGAAGCGUUCCAUAUUUUU